rnacentral:rRNA from 1 species
UAGGGAAUAUUGCGCAAUGGGGGAAACCCUGACGCAGCGACGCCGCGUGAGUGAUGAAGGCCUUCGGGUCGUAAAGCUCUGUUAUAUGGGAAUAAGAUCUGAAUGUACCAUGUGAGAAAGGAUCGGCUAACUUCGUGCCAGCAGCCGCGGUAAGACGAGGGAUCCUAGCGUUGCUCGGAAUCAUUGGGCGUAAAGCGGGUGUAGGUGGCUUUGUAAGUCAGGUGUGAAAGCCCAGGGCUCAACCCUGGAAGUGCAUUUGAUACUGCGAAGCUUGAGUGUGGGAGAGGCUACUGGAAUACCUGGUGUAGUGGUGAAAUACGUAGAUAUCAGGUGGAACACCGGAGGCGAAGGCGGGUAGCUGGCCCAACACUGACACUCAGACCCGAAAGCGUGGGGAUCAAACAGGAUUAGAUACCCCAGUAGUCCC